GUUACAAUUUAAUCUGAAGUAAAUUUGUUACUAAGUUUUGAAGAUUAGCGUUGAUUUUAUAUAAGAAUAUUAAAAUUUUAUUAAUUUUUUGAAAUAAUUCUUUUGUUAGUGAUAGUUAAAUGGUAUUGUGAAAGAUUAAAUUUUACUUGAUGAAAGAAAAAUUUAUUAUUUGUACCUUGUGUAUCAGGGUUGAUUAAAUUUAGUUAUAUGUAUGUAUAAAUCCCGAAUCUAGAAGAGCUAGUUUUAUAUUUUUUUAAUGUGUCAUAAUUAUUAUUAAUAUAGUCUUAGCAGUGAAACGUUAUUCGUUUUUAGAUAUAUCUGGUUUAUUGAGAAAUUAAUUCAAUUAGUUUAUCCAAGAAUAUAAUUUUUAGUUAUUAAUUUUAUAUUACGGUUAGAGAAAAUUAUUAGGGAAAGCUUAAUAGUUUAAAAUUAUUUAUUUUUAUCGUUGUCUUUAUAUAUAGGAUUGAAAGUUUCCAUUGUUGUUAGUGUGUUAUAACUUAUUUAGAAAAGACUAAUAUUUAUAUUAAUUAAUAAUUUUUUUAUCAAUAUGUUUGGUUAAUUUUAUUUUCUAUUGUAAUUAUGGUUAAAUUAGUAUAUAAAAUUGUAAAUUUAAUUACUAUAAAGAAAAUUAUAGAAAAGGAAUUCGGCAAAUUUUCUUUUCACCUGUUUAUUAAAAACAUGUCUUCAUGAGAAUAAUGUGAAGUUGGCCCUGCCCAAUGUUUAAUCAAUGGCCGCAGUAUUUUGACUGUGCUAAGGUAGCAUAAUCAUUAGUUUCUUAAUUAGAAUCUAGAAUGAAGGGGUUGAUGAAAAAGGAACUGUCUCUUUUAUAAUCAAUUAGAAAUUUAUUUUUAAGUUAAAAAGCUUAAAUGUUUUUAAAAGACGAGAAGACCCUAUAGAGUUUUAUAUAUAAAAAAUUCUAAGCUUAAGGUUAUUUAUUUGCUAAGAAUUCUUUAAUAUAUUUAAUUGGGGUGAUUAUGAAAUUUAAUUAACUUUCAUUGGUAAUUAAUAUAAAUAUAUAGAGAUAAAAUGAUCCAGUUUAUUCUGAUUUUAAGAUAAAAUUACCUUAGGGAUAACAGCGUAAUCUUUUUUUAGAGUUCUUAUCGAUAAAAGGGGUUGCGACCUCGAUGUUGGAUUAAAAUAUAUACCUAGGGGUAGGUUCUAGGAAAAUUAGGUCUGUUCGACCUUUAAAAUUUUACAUGAUCUGAGUUUAAACCGGCGUGAGCCAGGUUGGUUUCUAUCUUUAAAAUAUAAAAAAAUUUUAGUACGAAAGGACCAAGUUUUUAAUUAAUAAUUUAAUUGUUGAAUAUUAAUGUUAUUUUGGCAGAAUAGUGCAAUAGAUUUAGAAUCUUUUUAUAUAGCUUAAGCU
rnacentral:rRNA from 1 species